rnacentral:lncRNA from 1 species
AUGUUUACCUGUUUGAGUGGUUUUGAAAAAGCGACUAGUGAAAGUCUCCCCGAAAUCGAGAGCUUCACUUUGGCUGAAUUUUUGAAGAAAGUCGACGUCAGCACCAAAACCCUUAGAUCAAUGCGACCCACCUACUCAGAUAACGCGAUCGGCUAUGUUCAGCUGAAGCGGGAGGGCACGCUUUGUCAUGUCAUUGCUCGGAUAACGCCGGAGCAUAAAAUCCAAAAAGGGGCUUACAGAGUUCAUUGCGAGGUUGAUGAAGGUCCAAAGUAUGCAACUAUCAAGGCAGCUUACUGCGAGGAUUGCGCAGCUUCUCAAGGUAAAAAUAAUAACUUGCUCAUCAAAAAAGGAGGAAGUAACCUUUUUACAUUUCAGAUCUUGGAACUGAUGUAAAAGUCAAAGGUGGUUCAUGUGUGUAGUUUAAUUGUUGAGUACGGAAAGAUCUCUGAUGAACAUAAAAUGGUAACUGAGCAAUGAGAACCAUAAAUUGAUACUUAAGCACUACACGGCACUGUUGCAAAAAUUGCUGAACUUGAUAGGUAUAUUCUUAUUGUGGCCAACUAAUAACUGGUUCAGUUUCUAAUUUUUCAGAAAAAAGUCUUAGAGCAAUCCUGAAUUUCUCUUAAAAAAGUUUGCAACUGUACACAAAUGCAUUUGGUUUGCUGCUAUGGGAGAGACAUUUAUUUUCCUCUGACACUAGAGUAAUUUUAAAAAAAGACAGACAUUGAUUUACUCAAAAUCUAAUUUUGAACAUAAUAAUUUUUUUAUUUUUGAUUUGUUUUAAGGAGGAAAUUGCAAACAUGCAAUAGCAUUUGUAACUUGGUUACACCGGAGAAGCGAGGAGCCGUCAGUAACUGAAACGAAGUGUUAUUGGAAAAAAUCAAAGCUUUCCAAAGAUGGGGCAAGUUGUAUGACUACAACGGAGAUUGUGAGAGAGAGUGAAAAAUUGAAGAAAAGGAAACAACCAGCAAAACAGCAGAUUCCAAUCACACCUGCAGACAGUGAAACCUUUUUUGAAGAGCUUGCCUCCGAGUUUAAAGAUGAAAGUGGUAAUUAUGUUUUUACUUUCAGUGUACUUCAUUAACUCUGUGGCGUAUCAACACUGUCUUUCUAGAUUUUAAAAGAGAUGAAAAAGAAAAUAAAGGUAACUUCUCGUUGAAUAGUUAGCCUGUAGAAGGUCGUUUUUGGAAAAUAUUAGUUUUGAGCAAAACUCAUCUGAAGCUUUAAGAAAAAACUUUCCACAUUUUGCCCUUUGAUAAGGCAUAUGAGCGUCAGAUCAGUGUAAGUACGUAACAUUGUGUGUCCAAAGAGGCGCUGAUGCUGUAUGAUUGAUUUCCAAAACAAAGACUAAUUUUCCAAUGCGCUCUUCUUCCGACAGUCUUUAGUCAAGGAGAUGACGAAUUUUCUCUUAACUGCUUUUAAACGUUCAAUGUUUCUCUGAGAGUAAUUGAAUCCAACUCAAAAUGAACGCUUGCUAUCAUUAUUAAACUUAGAUGGAGACUGCAAAGGUAAACUGCAGGAAUGCGAAUUACGGUUUCAGCGGCAAUCUUUCCAUCAGUUUCUUAUUUCCAAACGGAUAAAUACUCAGCUUCAUUUCUUGAAAAAUUCCUUCGAUUUCCGUCUCCAUGUGAAAAAUAUUGUGUGAAAAUUACAAGCAUUAGCUUUGAUUUGCUCUCCUUUGAUAAAAUAAAAUGGGGGCAGAGAUUUUGAAACACUGCGAACAAGAUAUGCAUUCCUGCAGUUUCACCAUCAAUUUAAUACUGAAAAAGGAGCAAAGUAUUCACCAUUCAACGGGAAAUUUUUUAUUUUAUUUGCAACAUCAGAAGGAAAAAAAGGAAAGGUAUCGAUUGAGCGUUACUUAUUUUAUUUUGCAUUUAAACAAAUUUUAUGAUUUAAUAGUGUCUGCUCUUUCUUGUAUAUUCCUGUUAAGCCACUUAGUUUUGCACCAAACAAAUUCAUAAAAAUUCUUGUUCAGUUUUACCUUGAAUGAAAUUGAACUUAAACUCUCAUUGUUGAAAUAAUUGUGUAUUUUUCAUUAGCACUAGACAGCAGAAAGAGAAUAUUACAGCAUAUAAUACACAAAUAUAUAAUACACAAAUAUAAUACACAAAUAUAAUAUGAAAUAAUACACAGAUCAAAAUGGUUAAUGAAGACCACACUUUUUUUGGAAAAGAAGAAAUUCACUAAGUUAUUU